UACGUAGGGUGCAAGCGUUAAUCGGAAUUACUGGGCGUAAAGCGUGCGCAGGCGGUUCGCUACGACCGAUGUGAAAUCCCCGGGCUUAACCUGGGAACUGCAUUGGUGACUGGCGGGCUAGAGUAUGGCAGAGGGGGGUAGAAUUCCACGUGUAGCAGUGAAAUGCGUAGAGAUGUGGAGGAAUACCGAUGGCGAAGGCAGCCCCCUGGGCAAAUACUGACGCUCAUGCACGAAAGCGUGGGGAGCAAACAGG
rnacentral:rRNA from 1 species